GCCUGGGUGGCUCAAUCGGCUGAGCAUCUGGCUUCGGCUCAGGUCAUGAUCUCACAGGCCGGUGGGUUCGAGCCCCACAUCGGGCU
rnacentral:tRNA from 1 species